rnacentral:rRNA from 1 species
UAUGCACGCUGGCGGCGUGCCUAAUACAUGCAAGUCGAGCGAACAGACGAGGAGCUUGCUCCUCUGACGUUAGCGGCGGACGGGUGAGUAACACGUGGAUAACCUACCUAUAAGACUGGGAUAACUUCGGGAAACCGGAGCUAAUACCGGAUAAUAUAUUGAACCGCAUGGUUCAAUAGUGAAAGACGGUUUUGCUGUCACUUAUAGAUGGAUCCGCGCCGCAUUAGCUAGUUGGUAAGGUAACGGCUUACCAAGGCAACGAUGCGUAGCCGACCUGAGAGGGUGAUCGGCCACAUUGGAACUGAGACACGGUCCAGACUCCUACGGGAGGCAGCAGUAGGGAAUCUUCCGCAAUGGGCGAAAGCCUGACGUAGCAACGCCGCGUGAGUGAUGAAGGUCUUCGGCUCGUAAAACUCUGUUAUUAGGGAAGAACAAAUGUGUAAGUAACUAUGCACGUCUUGACGGUACCUAAUCAGAAAGCCACGGCUAACUACGUG